CUACGUUUUAUACGAAAAAUAAAAUUUCGAUUCUAUAUGAAAAUUUUGUGAACUUUUCGUCAGAAAUUCGUAUUCUUUUUUACAAGAGAAAAUGACAAGUGAUAAGCAUCUCCAAUGAUUGCAGAAAAAUAUUUUAGAAAACUGUAGAAGUUAUUAAAGCCUA